rnacentral:rRNA from 1 species
UCAAGUUAUUAAGGGUGCAGGGCGGAUGCCUUGGCACUAGGAGCCGAUGAAGGACGUGAUAAGCUGCGAUAAGCUUCGGGGAGUUGCACGUAAACUUUGAUCCGAAGAUUUCCGAAUGAGGAAACUCACUUAGAGUAAUGUCUAAGUAUCAUUAAGUGAAUACAUAGCUUAAUGAGGGGAACUCAGGGAACUGAAACAUCUAAGUACCUGAAGGAAGAGAAAGAAAUUCGAUUCCGUAAGUAGCGGCGAGCGAACGCGGAUUAGCCCAAACCAAUAAAGUUUUCUUUAUUGGGGUUGCGGACAUAUCAUAACGAAGAGGUAUCGUAAUUGAAGAGGUUUGGAAAGACCCACCACAGAAGGUAAUAGUCCUGUAUGUUAAACGAGAAGACUUUAGAUAUGAUCCAGAGUACCACGGGACACGUGAAACCCUGUGGGAAGCAGGAGGGACCACCCUCCAAGGCUAAAUACUACCUAGUGACCGAUAGCGUAUAGUACCGUGAGGGAAAGGUGAAAAGAACCCCGGGAGGGGAGUGAAAUAGAACCUGAAACCCUGCACUUACAAGCUGUGGAAGCACAUUUCUUGUGUGACCGCGUACUUUUUGUAGAACGGGCCAACGAGUUACGUUAAGUAGCAAGGUUAAGCACUUAAGGUGCGGAGCCGUAGCGAAAGCGAGUUUUAACUGAGCGUUCAGUUACUUGACGUAGACCCGAAACCGGGCGACCUACCCAUGAGCAGGAUGAAGCGAAAGUAAAAUUUCGUGGAGGUCCGAACCCACGAGCGUUGAAAAGCUCGGGGAUGACUUGUGGGUAGCGGUGAAAUUCCAAUCGAGCCCGGAGAUAGCUGGUUCUCCCCGAAAUAGCUUUAGGGCUAGCCUCAAGGUGAGAGAUACGGAGGUAGAGCACUGAAUGUCCUAGGGGGUAUUGCACCUACCGAAGACUAUCAAACUCCGAAUGCCGUCAUCUUAUACUUGGGAGUCAGACUGUGGGUGAUAAGAUUCAUAGUCGAAAGGGCAACAGCCCAGAUCGUCAGCUAAGGUCCCUAAAUGUAAGUUAAGUGGUAAAGGAUGUGGGAUUGCACAGACAACCAGGAUGUUGGCUUAGAAGCAGCCACUCAUUCAAAGAGUGCGUAAUAGCUCACUGGUCGAGUGAUCCUGCGCCGAAGAUUUCCGGGGCUAAAACUUACUACCGAAGCUACGGCAUCAGUAAUGAUGGGUAGGGGAGCUUCCCAUACGGGUUGAAGCAUGACCGUAAGGACAUGUGGACAGUAUGGGAGUGAGAAUGUUGGCAUGAGUAGCGAGAUGUGGGUGAGAAUCCCACAGGCCGUAAACCCAAGGUUUCCAGGGGAAGGUUCGUCCGCCCUGGGUUAGUCGGGACCUAAGCUGAGGCCGAAAGGCGUAGGUGAUGGACAACAGGUUGAUAUUCCUGUACUACCGAUAACCGUUUGAGAGAAGGGAUGACACAGUAGGAUAAGCUAAGCACACUGUUGGUUAUGUGUGCCCAAGCAUUGAGGCAGUCAAAGUAGGCAAAUCCGCUUUGAUAAUGCUGGGAUGUGAUGGGGAGCGAAAUUUAGUAGCGAAGUAGCUGAUUUCACACUGUCAAGAAAAGUCUCUAUCGAGGUUAAAGGUACCCGUACCGCAAACCGACACAGGUGGGUGAGGAGAGUAUCCUAAGGCCAGCGAGAGAACUGUUGUUAAGGAACUCGGCAAAAUGACCCCGUAACUUAGGGAUAAGGGGUGCCACCAUCAGGUGGCCGCAGAGAAUAGGCCCAAGCGACUGUUUACCAAAAACAUAGGUUUCUGCUAAGUCGCAAGACGAUGUAUAGGAGCUGACGCCUGCCCGGUGCUGGAAGGUUAAGGGGAUCUGUUAGAGCAAUCGAAGCAGUGAACUUAAGCCCCAGUAAACGGCGGCCGUAACUAUAACGGUCCUAAGGUAGCGAAAUUCCUUGUCGGGUAAGUUCCGACCCGCACGAAAGGCGUAACGAUUUGGGCACUGUCUCAACAACAGACUCGGUGAAAUUGUAAUUCCGGUGAAGAUGCCGGAUACCUGCGACAGGACGGAAAGACCCCAUGGAGCUUUACUGUAGCUUGACAUUGGGUCUUGGUACUACAUGUACAGGAUAGGUGGGAGGCUUUGAAACCAGGACGCCAGUUUUGGCGGAGCCAUCCUUGGGAUACCACCCUUGUAGUACUGGGACUCUAACCAUAGGCCAUGAAUCUGGUCUUGGGACACUGUCAGGUGGGCAGUUUGACUGGGGCGGUCGCCUCCCAAAAGGUAACGGAGGCGCUCAAAGGUUCUCUCAGUACGGUCGGAAAUCGUACGUAGAGUGUAAAGGCAAAAGAGAGCUUGAUUGCAAGACAUACAGGUCGAGCAAGGAUGAAAAUCGGACUUAGUGAUCCGGUGGUUCUGCGUGGAAGGGCCAUCGCUCAACGGAUAAAAGCUACCCUGGGGAUAACAGGCUUAUCUCCCCCAAGAGUCCACAUCGACGGGGAGGUUUGGCACCUCGAUGUCGGCUCAUCACAUCCUGGGGCUGUAGUAGGUCCCAAGGGUUGGGCUGUUCGCCCAUUAAAGUGGUACGCGAGCUGGGUUCAGAACGUCGUGAGACAGUUCGGUCCCUAUCCGUCGCAGGCGUAGGAAAUUUGAGAAGACCUGUCCUUAGUACGAGAGGACCGGGAUGGACGUACCUCUGGUGUACCAGUUGUCCUGCCAAGGGCAUGGCUGGGUAGCUAUGUACGGAAUGGAUAAGCGCUGAAAGCAUCUAAGCGCGAAGCCAACUUCAAGAUAAGAUUUCCCACCGCAAGGGUAAGACCCCAGAAAGACUAUCUGGUUGAUAGGUCGAAGGUGUAAGUGCAGCAAUGUAUUUAGCUUAUCGAUACUAAUAGGUCGAGGA